GACAGAGGGUGCAAACGUUGCUCGGAAUCACUGGGCGUAAAGGGCGUGUAGGCGGGAAUGUAAGUCGGGCGUGAAAUCCCUGAGCUCAACUCAGGAACUGCACUCGAAACUACUUUUCUUGAGUGCCGGAGAGGAAAGCGGAAUACCUGGUGUAGAGGUGAAAUUCGUAGAUAUCAGGUGGAACACCAGUGGCGAAGGCGGCUUUCUGGACGGUAACUGACGCUGAGACGCGAAAGCGUGGGGAGCAAACAGG
rnacentral:rRNA from 1 species